rnacentral:rRNA from 1 species
CCUACGGGUGGCAGCAGUGGGGAAUAUUGGGCAAUGGGCGCAAGCCUGACCCAGCAACGCCGCGUGAAGGAAGAAGGCUUUCGGGUUGUAAACUUCUUUUCUGAGGGACGAAGAAAGUGACGGUACCUCAGGAAUAAGCCACGGCUAACUACGUGCCAGCAUCCGCGGUAAGACGUAGGUGGCAAGCGUUAUCCGGAUUUAUUGGGUGGAAAGUGCGUGUAGGCGUGACAGCAAGUCAGAUGUGAAAACGCAGGGCUCAACCCUGAGCCUGCAUUUGAAACUGUUUUUCUUGAGUGCUGGAGAGGCAAUCGGAAUUCCGUGUGUAGCGGUGAAAUGCGUAGAUAUACGGAGGAACACCAGGGGCGAAGGCGGAUUGCUGGACAGUAACUGACGCUGAGGCGCGAAAGCGUGGGGAGCAAACAGGAGUAGAUACCCUUGUAGUC